rnacentral:rRNA from 1 species
GGGGUGUUAGGGCACGACACCGGAGAGGGAGCCUGAGAAACGGCUACCACAUCCAAGGAAGGCAGCAGGCGCGCAAAUUACCCAAUCCCGACACGGGGAGGUAGUGACAAUAAAUAACAAUACAGGGUUCUUUUGGAUCUUGUAAUUGGAAUGAGUACAAUUUAAAUCUCUUAACGAGGAACAAUUGGAGGGCAAGUCUGGUGCCAGCAGCCGCGGUAAUUCCAGCUCCAAUAGCGUAUAUUAAAGUUGUUGCAGUUAAAAAGCUCGUAGUUGAAUUUCGGGAUCAAUAUUUCGGUCAUGCCGUUGGUAUGCACUGUUAUCAUUGAUUUCUCACCUUCUAAAGAACCGUAAUGCCAUUAAUUUGGUGUUACGGGGAAUUAGGACUGUUACCUUGAAAAAAUUAGAGUGUUUAAAGCAGGCUCACGCUUGAAUACAUUAGCAUGGAAUAAUGAAAUAGGACGUCUGAUUCUAUUUUGUUGGCUUCUAGGAUCGACGUAAUGAUUAAUAGGGAUAGUUGGGGGCAUUAGUACUCAAUUGUCAGAGGUGAAAUUCUUGGAUUUAUUGAAGACUAACUACUGCGAAAGCAUUUGCCAAGGAUGUUUUCAUUAAUCAAGAACGAAAGUUAGGGGAUCGAAGACGAUCAGAUACCGUCGUAGUCUUAACCAUAAACUAUGCCGACUAGGGAUCGGAUGA